AGUGAACGCUGGCGGUAGGCCUAACACAUGCAAGUCGAACGGCAGCACAGUAAGAGCUUGCUCUUACGGGUGGCGAGUGGCGGACGGGUGAGGAAUACAUCGGAAUCUACUUUUUCGUGGGGGAUAACGUAGGGAAACUUACGCUAAUACCGCAUACGACCUACGGGUGAAAGCAGGGGAUCUUCGGACCUUGCGCGAUUGAAUGAGCCGAUGUCGGAUUAGCUAGUUGGCGGGGUAAAGGCCCACCAAGGCGACGAUCCGUAGCUGGUCUGAGAGGAUGAUCGGCCACACUGGAACGGAGACACGGUCCAGACUCCUACGGGAGGCAGCAGUGGGGAAUAUUGGACAAUGGGCGCAAGCCUGAUCCAGCUAUACCGCGUGGGUGAAGAAGGCCUUCGGGUUGUAAAGCCCUUUUGUUGGGAAAGAAAAGCAGCAGGUUAAUACCCCGCUGUUCUGACGGUACCCAAAGAAUAAGCACCGGUUAACUUCGUG
rnacentral:rRNA from 1 species